rnacentral:rRNA from 1 species
UGGCUAACGGGUGAGUAAUGCGUGACCAACCUGCCCCAUGCUCCAGAAUAGCUCUUGGAAACGGGUGGUAAUGCUGGAUGCUCCAACUUUACGCAUGUCUUGUUGGGAAAGUGUUUAGUGGCAUGGGAUGGGGUCGCGUCCUAUCAGCUUGUAGGCGGGGUAAUGGCCCACCUAGGCUUCGACGGGUAGCCGGCCUGAGAGGGCGGACGGCCACAUUGGGACUGAGAUACGGCCCAGACUCCUACGGGAGGCAGCAGUC